AAUAACUCGCUGGCAAAUUUAUUGACUUAGUUUUUAAUACACUGCAUGUUUUGCUAACUAUUUCUCAUAUUUCUUUCGCUGACUGAACUUACAAAUGCGCUUCCAGAGUUUUCAUUUACGCUUCUGACUUCUUCGUUUACGCUUCUGAAGUUUUCGUUCGCAAUUCUGACACAAACCUACCGUGUGGGCGGGCUUAACAGCGGUUUGCUCUCAUUGGCUAGUGAGAUUUAGAUUGACGGCUCCUUGAACCGGAAGGAGAGCAGCGCGAAUUUUGGGUUCUGUGUGACAGUCUAACAACAGUAGAGUAAAACACUAUAUAAAAGCACAUCAACAAUAUUUAUAAAACCGAGAUGAGUAAGCAGGAGCGUCAUCAACAUCCUCAACCGCAGGGCAUUCGAGGCAGCCUGAGGGACAAAGAGAAAUGUCACUUCUCCAGGUGGUGGAGCAACUUUUUCGAGAGGAAACUGCUGAUACUGACCCAGAGGAUGGUGUGGUGGUGCCAGAGAUCCAUUGCCCUUUUUCUGACCAAAAACUUGCCGUUCUGCGUGGAUUGAUUAAUCCCUUGACAUCACCAUUGAAUGACAGGGAGCUCUAUGUCCAGACACUUGCUAUCAUCAAAAGAUUGUGCUCUAUUUAACAUUUAAAUGUUUAAGUAAAACACUCAGAAGUACACAUGCAAUUCUGUCAGAAUUUUAAUUAAAGAAAAUCAGUUAAUUGCCAAUAAAACAUUUAAUUUUAUACUAUGCUGUAAAACAUGUAACCAUUCAGAAGCAUGUAAAGUUAUUAACACGUUGAACAUUGUAUCUCUGAAUUUUAAAGAUUAAAUUAAAACUAUUGAGAGAGA